GGUAUCCUACGGGACGCAGCAGUGGGGAAUAUUGCGCAAUGGGGGAAACCCUGACGCAGCAACGCCGCGUGCGGGAUGAAGGCUUUCGGGUUGUAAACCGCUUUCAGCAGGGAAGAUAAUGACGGUACCUGCAGAAGAAGCUCCGGCUAACUACGUGCCAGCAGCCGCGGUAAUACGUAGGGGGCAAGCGUUAUCCGGAUUCAUUGGGCGUAAAGCGCGCGCAGGCGGGCCGCUAAGCGGGACCUCUAACCUUGGGG
rnacentral:rRNA from 1 species